UUUUGCCCGGCCCAUUUCUGUAUU
rnacentral:siRNA from 1 species